UUUGCGCUGCUUUCCAUGCAAGUCGAACGGUAACAGGCCUUCGGGCGCUGACGAGUGGCGAACGGGUGAGUAAUGCAUCGGAACGUGCCCAGUCGUGGGGGAUAACUAUCCGAAAGGAUAGCUAAUACCGCAUACGAUCUGCGGAUGAAAGCGGGGGACCUUCGGGCCUCGCGCGAUUGGAGCGGCCGAUGUCAGAUUAGGUAGUUGGUGGGGUAAAGGCUCACCAAGCCAACGAUCUGUAGCUGGUCUGAGAGGACGACCAGCCACACUGGGACUGAGACACGGCCCAGACUCCUACGGGAGGCAGCAGUGGGGAAUUUUGGACAAUGGGCGCAAGCCUGAUCCAGCAAUGCCGCGUGCAGGAAGAAGGCCUUCGGGUUGUAAACUGCUUUUGUACGGAACGAAACGGCUCUGGUUAAUACCCGGGGCUAAUGACGGUACCGUAAGAAUAAUCACCGGCUAACUACGUGCCAGCACCCGCGGUAAUACUUAGGGUGCAAGCGUGAAUCGGAAUUGCUGGGCGCAAAACGUGCGCAGGCGGUUUUGUCAGACAAGUA
rnacentral:rRNA from 1 species